rnacentral:misc_RNA from 1 species
GGUUGGAUCAUUAACAAAUUCCAACUAAAAGAGCAGCCUUUCGGGGCUGUUUCUUUUAAACACCCUUGUGAACCGUUUAUUGUCUCUGGUGGGUUAAAAUGUCUAACGACAGGUUUAAUCGCCACCCACCUUUAUUAAACUCUAUUAUUUUAACAGUCUUUAAACCGUUUUGAAUUCUAUGAAUUAAAAACAACUUUUGACAACGGAUCUCUUGGUUCUCGCAACGAUGAAGAACGCAGCGAAAUGCGAUAAGUAAUGUGAAUUGCAGAUUUUCGUGAAUCAUUAAAUCUUUGAACGCACCUUGCGCCCUCUGGUAUCCCGGGGGGCAUAUCUGUUUGAGAAUCAGUUUAAACCUCACAACCUUGUGUUUUUUUAAAAGAUACAUUGGGGUGGAAUUGAGAUAUCUCUAGCUUGCUAGAGUGUCUUUAAACUGAUGACCGCCUUGAGAGUAGAAAGUACUGUUUAAAGGCAAGAUGACUGGGCAGCAAUGCUCUUAACCUUUGCUUAGUUGGCAAGUAUGGGAAGCUCUCUAUGGUAGGGACUUUUAACCAACACGAAAGCGUAAGCUUUUAAGACUUGGUCUCAAAUCAGAUAAGACUACCCGCUGAACUUAAGCAUAUCAAUAAGCGGAGGAAAAGAAACUAACAAGGAUUCCCCUAGUAACGGCGAGUGAAGCGGGAAGAGCUCAAAUUUGAAAUCUCACAGGUUCCCUGUGCGAAUUGUAGUUUAAAGAAGUGUUUUCGGAGGCAGGCUAGGUCUAAGUUUUUUGGAACAUUACAUCACAGAGGGUGAGAAUCCCGUAUGUGAUCUAGACUCUGCUUCUAUGUGAUACACUUUCAAAGAGUCGGGUUGUUUGGGAAUGCAGCCCAAAAUGGGUGGUAAAUAUCAUCUAAAGCUAAAUAUUGGCGAGAGACCGAUAGCGAACAAGUACCGUGAGGGAAAGAUGAAAAGAACUUUGAAAAGAGAGUUAAAAGUACGUGAAAUUGUCAAAAGGGAAACGCUUGAAACCAGUCUUGUUGGUAGAAUCCCAACUGGUCUUUGAUCAGCAUAUGUUUCUAUUAACAGGUCAACAUCGGUUUCUUUUGCAGUAUAAAGCUAGAGAAAGGUAGCCUCUCGGGGUAUUAUAGUCUCUAGUCAUGCUGUGAGGGAGACCGAGGUCAGCAGUGCAGCCUUGGGUACCCGGUCGCCAGUUGAAUUACCUUCUAGACAACUUGUUGAUUAGGAGGGAGCUAAGACUGCCCGGUCGGUUUGCCUCACCUGUGCUUAGGAUGUUGACAAAAUGGUUUUAAACGACCCGUCUUGAAACACGGACCAAGGAGUCUAACACAUAUGCGAGUAUUUGGGUGUUAAACCCAAGAUGCGCAAUGAAAGUAUUAAGGUGGGAUCUUCGGUGCACCAUCGACCGGUCUGGAUAUUUUUGGAAAGAUCUGAGUAAGAGCAUAUAUGUUAGGACCCGAAAGAUGGUGAACUAUGCCUGAAUAGGGCGAAGCCAGAGGAAACUCUGGUGGAGGCUCGUAGCGAUUCUGACGUGCAAAUCGAUCGUAAAAUUUGGGUAUAGGGGCGAAAGACUAAUCGAACCAUCUAGUAGCUGGUUCCCUC